UAUUAUUUAUUACUCGAAUUUAAAAUAAAUAUUGGAGAGAUUUUCAAUUUCAAUAGUAUAUCAGGUAUAUCUUAUAUAUUUGAAAAAUAGACUAUAACAUGAGUAUCAUUGUCCAAUAUGUUGUUGUUCGUAAAGAUCUACUGCUCAAGGAUUUCAACUGGCCUUUUGGUGCGGUGAUCGCACAAGCUUGCCAUGCAGUAACUGCAGUAACACAUAUGUACCAUGAUGAUGAACACACAAAAAAAUAUUUAGAAAAUUUGGAUAGCAUGCACAAAGUUGUUCUUGAAAUAUCAAAUGAGAAAGAAAUAAUAUCUCUGCAUGAGAUUCUUGAAAGAAAUAAUAUUAUGCAUAAGUUAUGGAUAGAACAACCUGAAAACAUACCUACUUGUUUAGUAGUCAAACCCUAUCCUAAAGAUGAGGUCAAGAACUAUUUUAAAGGCUUGAAACUUUUUAAGAACCCUUGUUUUUCAUUUUGGCAUGGAUGAGGGCAUUUAAAGAAUUUGAAGAAAUAAAGCAUUGAGAUUAUGUAAGUUUAUCAAAAAGAUUUUUAUUAUACAGAUGAUUUCAUCUAUAAAGAUCGUACUUUGUCAUUACAAUUAAAAAAGUUUAUUUGGGUAAGGGUAACCUUGUCAGUAUAAUUACUGUAAUAAAUUGUUGCACUCUAUGAGAGUAUCUUCCUAAAUAAUGUAAAUAAACAAAUACAAUGUAAUAGGACUUAUUAAAAAUCCAAAAUAAUUGGAUAUAAUUUCAUAAAAAUAAAUAUUUAAUUCCUA